GAGCAGUGAUGAGAACUUAGGAAAGUCAUGCACCACUCUGAUUCUCAUAGUGAUUGAUAAACUUUCUCCAUACCCAUAUUUUGUUUCUGAGCUC